CAGAACAACCGGGGGAGCUUGUGUUGACAGGCUGAGAGGAAGGAAUCACCUUCGACCCUUACACCUGAUGCGGAUAAUGCCGCCGUAGGAAGUCGUGGUAGAUUGUACUU
rfam:Subdoligranulum variabile DSM 15176 genomic scaffold Scfld0, whole genome shotgun sequence.